GGUCUGGAAAGUCCGACGGUACAGGGUGAUAGUCCCGUACACCAAAAUGCACAGGYUGUGAACUCGAAGAGUAGGGCGGGACACGUGGUAUCCUGUCUGAAUAUGGGGGGACCAUCCUCCAAGGCUAAAUACUCCUGACUGACCGAUAGUGAACCAGUACCGUGAGGGAAAGGCGAAAAGAACCCCGGCGAGGGGAGUGAAAAAGAACCUGAAACCGUGUACGUACAAGCAGUGGGAGCACCUUCGGGUGUGACUGCGUACCUUUUGUAUAAUGGGUCAGCGACUUAUAUUCUGUAGCAAGGUUAACCGUAUAGGGGAGCCGCAGGGAAACCGAGUCUUAACUGGGCGUUAAGUUGCAGGGUAUAGACCCGAAACCCGGUGAUCUAGCCAUGGGCAGGUUGAAGGUUGGGUAACACUAACUGGAGGACCGAACCGACUAAUGUUGAAAAAUUAGCGGAUGACUUGUGGCUGGGGGUGAAAGGCCAAUCAAACCGGGAGAUAGCUGGUUCUCCCCGAAAGCUAUUUAGGUAGCGCCUCGUGAACUCAUCUUCGGGGGUAGAGCACUGUUUCGGCUAGGGGGUCAUCCCGACUUACCAACCCGAUGCAAACUACGAAUACCGAAGAAUGUUAUCACGGGAGACACACGGCGGGUGCUAACGUCCGUCGUGAAGAGGGAAACAACCCAGACCGCCAGCUAAGGUCCCAAAGUCAUGGUUAAGUGGGAAACGAUGUGGGAAGGCACAGACAGCCAGGAUGUUGGCUUAGAAGCAGCCAUCAUUUAAAGAAAGCGUAAUAGCUCACUAGUCGAGUCGGCCUGCGCGGAAGAUGUAACGGGGC
rnacentral:rRNA from 1 species